rnacentral:rRNA from 1 species
GACGAACGCUGGCGGCGUGCUUAACACAUGCAAGUCGAACGGUGAUGCUCCAGCUUGCUGGAGUGGACCAGUGGCGAACGGGUGAGUAACACGUGAGCAACCUGCCCCAGACUCUGGAAUAAGCGCUGGAAACGGCGUCUAAUACUGGAUACGAAACUGGCCCGCAUGGGCAUGGUUUGGAAAGUUUUUCGGUUUGGGAUGGGCUCGCGGCCUAUCAGCUUGUUGGUGAGGUAAUGGCUCACCAAGGCGACGACGGGUAGCCGGCCUGAGAGGGCGGCCGGCCACACUGGGACUGAGACACGGCCCAGACUCCUACGGGAGGCAGCAGUGGGGAAUAUUGCACAAUGGGCGGAAGCCUGAUGCAGCGACGCCGCGUGAGGGAUGACGGCCUUCGGGUUGUAAACCUCUUUCAGCAGGGAAGAAGCGAAAGUGACGGUACCUGCAGAAGAAGCACCGGCUAACUACGUG